rnacentral:rRNA from 1 species
AUUGAACGCUGGCGGCAGGCCUAACACAUGCAAGUCGAACGAGUGGCGGACGGGUGAGUAAUGUCUGGGAAACUUCCUGAUGGAGGGUGAUAACUACUGGACACGGUAGCUAAUACCUCAUACCAUCGGAUGUGCCCAGCUGGGAUUAGCUAGUAGGUGGGGUAACGGCGCACCUAGGCGACGAUCCCUAGCUGGUCUGAGAGGAUGACCAGCCACACUGGAACUGAGACACGGUCGAGACUCCGACGGGAGGCAGCAGUGGGGAAUAUUGCAAAAUGGGCGCAAGCCUGAUGCAGCCAUGCCGCGGGUAGGAAGAAGGCCUUCGGGUGGUAAAGUACGUUCAGCGGGGAGGCGUUACCCGCAGAAGAAGCACCGGCUAACUCCGUGCCAGCAGCCGCGGUAAUUC